rnacentral:rRNA from 1 species
GUACGUUUUUUGAGUGUCUAUUUAUUUUCGAUUGGUAUCUAUGGAUUGAUCACAAGCCGAAACAUGGUUAGAUCUCUAAUAUGUCUUGAACUUAUACUAAAUUAAAUUAAUCUAAAUCUCGUAACUUUUUCUGAUCUAUUUGAUAGUCGCCAAUUAAAAGGAGAUAUUUUCGCAAUUUUUGUUAUAGCCCUUGCGGCUGCUGAAGUCGCUAUGCUCCUGCUCCUUCUCUUCCUCCAGGUCCUGAGGUGGUACUGGUGCAUCACCUAG